rnacentral:rRNA from 1 species
UACGUAGGGUGCGAGCGUUAAUCGGAAUUACUGGGCGUAAAGUGUGCGCAGGCGGCGUUGCAAGUCGAGUGUGAAAUCCCUGGGCUUAACUUGGGAACUGCGCUCGAAACUACGAUGCUGGAGUGUGGCAGAGGAAGGUGGAAUUCCAGGUGUAGCGGUGAAAUGCGUAGAGAUCUGGAGGAACACCGAUGGCGAAGGCAGCCUUCUGGGCCAACACUGACGCUCAUGCACGAAAGCGUGGGGAGCAAACAGG